rnacentral:tRNA from 1 species
AGCAGGGUAGAGAAGCCAGGAGUUCUCGCAGGGCCCAUAACCCUGACAUCGGUGGUUCAAAUCCACCCCCUGCUA